GUGGUUGUGGCUCAGUGGUAGAGCACUCGCCUAGCAUGUGCAAAACAUUGGGUUCUAUCCUCAGCACCACA
rnacentral:tRNA from 1 species